GUAAAUAAUUCUAAUUAUUGAUUUUAGUGAUACAUUUUUCUUUCAACACUAAUUAUAUCAAUUAUAUUGUGUCGUUUAUAUAGAAACAGUUGACAGGUGAAGACCCCUCAUUCAUUGAUCUUUAUUAUAAGACACAUCUUACCGCCGAAUCAAAGAAAAUAUAUUUUGGGGGCGAUAAAGAGUCACAAGUGGAUUUUGUGAAUGAGACAUCUAGAGUGGCGAUCGAAUCAUAUAACACAACCCUAUCUCAAAAAUAUGGUGAUGAUACGACUCAACAUAAUGUGAAUGAUCCUGAAUUGUGGACCCAAACAUAAUUGCUUAGGAAAGGCGGGAAACAAAAAGGUCCUAUCUAUGGGGCAGGAUACUCAGAUCUUCACUUUCUGAUGACGGGUGCAUAUUCUUAUGAGUCAACUUCAGCUUCUGCUGACUUUGCAAAGUCACAACAGGAGGUAAAUGAGUUGCAACAAAAAAUGUCAAACAUGGAACAAGCCAUGGAAGAAAAGCAAAGUGAAAUGAAUUUGCAAAUGCAACAAAUGCGAAAUGAAAUGGAAUUGCAAGUGCAACGACAAUUGGCGGCCUUUAUGAAACAAAUUAAUCCUUCCGAUAAUCCACCAAGUAGUUCUUAGUUUUUGUUUUAGAACUCUAAAUUAAUGUUAUGUUAUUGACUUCUUAGUUUUUG